GUCUUUUUAGUAUAAAAAUAUAAAUGACUUCCAAUUAUUUGAUCCUAGCUGGGAAAAGACA
rnacentral:tRNA from 1 species